UGUGUAGGCGGUUGUUUAAGUUUGGUGUGAAAUCUCCCGGCUCAACUGGGAGGGUGCGCCGAAUACUGAAUGACUUCGAGUACGGGAGAGGAAAGUGGAAUUCCUGGUGUAGCGGUGAAAUGCGUAGAUAUCAGGAGGAACACCGGUGGUGUAGACGGCUUUCUGGACCGUAACUGACGCUGAGACACGAAAGCGUGGGUAAGCAAACA
rnacentral:rRNA from 1 species